UUUUGCCCAAUGACAGCUUAGUGUGGAGUCACUGUUUUGUCCAAGCCAAAGGUUUGCCGCGGUGUGUGAUUACUGGAGGAAAAAAGACAGCCCUCUUUCCUGUAUACAGUGUCGAUGGUGGAUGACCUCUUAAACAGUUUCCACAGGAUUUCAGAGGUUCCAGUGAUUGCUGCUGAUGAGCGAAACUUAAAAAGUGGAAACAAUGUCUGUAUUUGACAGAUGGAAGCUCCAGGUGGUUGCUGCUGUGUGUGUGAUCAUCGUGACGACAUCCUAUUUUAUUCUGCCGAAAGAUGUUACCACUACACCAAAACUGAGUUCAUCUCUCCCCACGCAUCUUCCCUCAUCUGGCCCAUGCACCUGUCCUGCUGGCUCAAGCCUUCUUAAAGAACACCUCCCCAAGGAUCAAUAUAAGGAGUUGGCGCAACGGCGAACUAAGGAAUUCCAGCAGUACAAAGCCAGCGGCUUUACCCUUGAAGUCCCGUCUCCUCCAGUGACUCCAAGCUCACUUAGGGACCUAGGGAGCAGUCGUGACUGUGCCUGCCUUGGGUUGUCCCAGGGUUUCGAGGUGGGAUCUUACCCGUCAUGGGCUAUCCAGCCUUCCAUGCUCGCCUGAUACGGGGGCCAACUGGGCAAGGGUGUUAUCAGGUCUAGGGGACACACUUGUUCUGGAAAUUAAAGGAGUGUAAACUGCUUUCUUUAUUUCAUGUGUGUAUUAAACUUUCCAACAAUAAUUUCACAUGUAACAGUUUGUGUACGUGCGUUUUCAAUUCAUUAAUGUAAUUGUUAGUUCAUGUAUUUAUUUCUCUCGGUCUGUCUCUUUUCUAAAACCUGUAAUUAAUAUAAUUUUAUUACUUUUUCUUAAAACAUGCAUUCGCUUCAUCUUCUUGGAAUUU
ensembl:lncRNA